rnacentral:rRNA from 1 species
CGACCGGCGGACGGGUGCGUAACGCGUAUGCAACCUGCCUGACACAGGGGGAUAAUCCGAAGAAAUUUGGUCUAAUACCCCAUAAUACCGAUAUAGGCAUCUAUGUUGGUUGAAAGCUUUGGUGGUGUCAGAUGGGCAUGCGUUGUAUUAGCUAGUUGGUGAGGUAACGGCUCACCAAGGCGACGAUACAUAGGGGGACUGAGAGGUUAACCCCCCACACUGGUACUGAGACACGGUCCAAACUCCUACGGGAGGCAGCAUG